GUGAAAGAAGACAGACCCAAAAAAGUGCACAUACUGUAUGAUUCUACAUGUGUACAAUUCUAGAAUAUGUGAACUAAUCCAUAGUCACUGACAGCAGGUCAGUGGUUGACUGGGAGUGGGGCAGGAGGGCAGCAAGGGGGGAUUUCCAUGGGUACAAGGCAAUGAGUGAUGGAGAUGGUCAUUGUUGAUUGUGGUGGUGGUUUCACAGGGGCAGACGUAUGUCAAAAAUCCAUCAAAGUGUGCAGUUUACUGUAUAUCAAUUAUGCUCAAUAAAGCUGUGCAAAAGAAGGAGGAGGGGAGGGAGGCAGCAGCUCUUGGCCCUAGGGGGACAACCAGUCACUCCUCAACUCUUCCAAGUAUGGGUAUGGGGUUUGUCUAUAGAAUCUAUGAAUUCACUCUCCUAUGCUACCCAGGGGUUCUUUACCAACUCAGCUGCACCUCCCCAACUUGUCCCAGGUUCUUUGAGAGCAGGGACUAUGCCUUCUGUAUCAAGUCUCUCCUGUUGAGAAAGCGGAUGGUGGCAAUGAUGAGGCAGCUUCCGUGGGUAGUAGGAGAAGGGCUGGUCUAUCACUAGGACCAGGGCUGAUCACACCUGGAUCUUGGGGGAGUCCACCCAACUGUGGGGCAAUAACACCACUGUCAUUUCUGCCUUGUUUGUGGAAUGCAUGGUGACUCACUCCAGGAAGACUCCCAACAUUGCUGAGGAACAGGAUAAGGCAGAGGUGAGAUGGUGAGCCACACUUGGCUCUGAAGGAACUGAACCCCCAGGGCUCACCCUUCAGGUUGGGGCUGUUGGACAAGACGAACCUUAUGUAACCUACAGAGAACCAUUUACUUCUGGAGCGAGGAAGCCAAUGCUGUGUGCAAGGUGGUCUUCUGAGCCUGCUGAACCUAGAUUCCAAUCUUUACCACACUGACCUGAUUGAAGUCUCUGUGAUCUGUGGUCACAAUCAUUCUGGCUGAGGCACCCCAAGGCUGACAACCUUGCUAAGCCAAAGCUGGAGCUCUCUCCCUUCUAGAAGCCAGGCCAGAAUUCUGCGUGGCCACCAAGCCUUGACUUUCUGAAGCCAAACACUUGAUUCAACACGAUGAAGCUCAUUUCUGUUGCAUUCAAGCACCAUGAGGGCCUUCAGUAGUGAUGGUUCCCAUAGAUUUGUGUAAACCAAAGUAUGGACUAGGCUACACAUGCAGUCCUUCACUUUGAUGCUGGUCCUACCAACAUCUAUGAUCUGCCCUCACCCCUGUGGAUUUUCCUUGAUAGCAUUAGUCUUACUAAAGAAAAGCUUGAUUCAAAAAUCCAACCACAUGGGCUGGUUCGAAGGUAGUGUGUUAUUUCAGUUGAUUGCUCACUGUCAGUUACAGGUUGAACUCCUUGUUCUACUCUGUCCCCCUUCUUGCCACUGCACUUGACUAGUUUAAAAAAAUAUCCAAUCACAAAAUGGACAUAUGUGUUGGGUUAUAUGACAAUUAUAUGGCAAAGGAAUAAGUCAUUUGAUGAAUAAGUGUCCUGGGUGUUCCUUUAAAUCAGACACUGGAGCAAGGCACAGUGGCUUAGGUCUGUAAUCCCAGCACUUUGGGAGGCUGAGGCAGCUGUAUCACCUGAGGUCAAGAGUUUGAGACAAGCCCGGCCAAUAUGGUGAAACCCCGACUCUACUAAAAAUACAAAAAUUAGCUGGGUGUGGUAGCAGCACCUGUAAUCCCAGCUACUCAGGAGGCUGAGGCGGGAGAAUUGCUUGAACCUGGGAGGCGGAGGGUACAAUGAGC
rnacentral:lncRNA from 10 species